AAUAUUAUUUAAUUAUAAUUUCUCUUUUUUAAAAUCAUAAUCAAAUGAUAAUUGCAAAAGACUAUUUGAUAACAAUUUUCCUUAUAAUAUUGUGAUAUGUGUUUAAAUAUAUAAUAAUUAAAAAUAUAUAUAAUAACAUAAUAAAACGAAUUUUGAUAAAAACUAAUUUUAAAAAUUAUUUAAUAGUAAAAAUAUAUAUUUUAAAAAUAUUCAAUAGUAAUUAUUUUAGAAAUUUAUUUUUCGAAAAUCCUAAAAAAAUAUUUGAAAACAAUUUAUUUAAUAUAAUUUUCCUUUUCUAAAGUUUUAAUGAAAAUAUAAUUAUAAAAUAUUAUAUUGAGCUUGGUUCUUCAAAAUUGCUAAUUAACAUGAUUGUGACACAUGUUACUUAUAUAUAUUUAGAAAUGUAUUAUGUGUUAAACUAUGUAAUAAUCAAAAUAUAUAUACUUAAAUAAUGAAAAUGAUAUUUUUCUUAAAAAAUAAUUAUAAAUAGUAUUUAAUAGUCUUAUUAUUAUUAUUAUUAAUAUUAUUAAUAUUAUUAUUAUUAUUAUUAUUUUGUUAGUAUUUUUAUAAAAGGCUUGGUUUUUCAAAGUUGCUAAUUUACAUAAUUGUGACAAUGUUAGUUAUAUAUUUGAAAAUGUGAUAUGUGUUAAACUUUCUCAUAACCAAAAAUAUAUAUAUUAAAAUAAAAAAAAACUAUUUUUUAUUAAAAAUUAAUUAUAAAUAUUGUUUAAUAGUCUUAUUAUUAUUAUUAUUAUUAUUAUUAUUAUUAUGUUUGUUUUAAGAGAUACUAAAGAUAGAGAAUUAUAAAAUAUAAAUAUUAACUUUCCAGAAAAAAUGUUAAACAAAAGCUAAUCGUAAAAUCCUACAAGUACAAAAAAUUAUUUAGUAAAAAAUGAAUAAAAAUAACUUUUGAAUAAAUAAUAUUACUUUUUUAAAAGCCUAAUUAAAAUAAAAUUUUAAAAGUACUCUUAGUAUUGUCUUAUAAGUAAUUGACUUUCUUUUUUUAAUAGAUAAUUUUGUAUGUUAAAAAAGUAUGACCAACAAUAG